GGUAGCAGUGGAAACUAGGAACUUCUUUCUAAUUGGAUGAACACCUUGAGGUUUUUCUUUUUUUAUGCGUCUUACAGCAGAAAAAUUUGAACUUGAUAAAUGCCAGUCCUUUUGUUACUGUUGAAGUGUAAAUCUUCAGUGAAAACAGUGAUGCAUCCCUUAAGUGUUUUGCUAGUGGUACUAUGGCUUCAACAGAGGGGAGUGAGAAGUCAGCAGAAGGUGCAGCAGAACCCAGAAUUCCUCAGUGUCUCAGAGGGAGCCACGGCCUCUGUCAACUGCACUUUCAGUGAUAGUGCUUCUCAAUACUUCUGGUGGUACAGACAGAAUCCUGGGGAAGAACCUAAGGCUCUGAUGUACAUCGUCUCCAAUGGUGAAAAGAAAAAAGGCAGAUUCACAAUUCAGCUCAAUAAAUCCAGUCUGCUUGUUUCCCUGCACAUCAGAGACUCCCAGCCCAGUGACUCUGCUGUCUACCUCUGUGCAGUGAGCACACAGUGCUCCCCAGAACACCUGCAGCCUACACCCAAACCUACAGGGCCCCAACAAAGUCUAAGCUAG